AUACAGAGAGUGCGAGCGUUAAUCGGAAUUACUGGGCGUAAAGCGCACGUAGGUGGGCAUUUAAGUCGGAUGUGAAGGCCCUGGGCUUAACCUGGGAACUGCAUUCGAUACUGGGUGCCUAGAGUAUGGUAGAGGGAAGUGGAAUUUCCGGUGUAGCGGUGAAAUGCGUAGAUAUCGGGAGGAACACCAGUGGCGAAGGCGGCUGCCUGGACCAUUUCUGACGCUGAGGCGCGAAAGCGUGGGGAGCAAACAGGAUUAGAUACCCCGGUAGUCC
rnacentral:rRNA from 1 species